GGCGGCGUAGCUCAGCUGGUUAGAGCGUCGGAAUCAUAAUCCGUAGGUCGGGGGUUCGAAUCCCUCCGCCGCUACCA
rnacentral:tRNA from 1 species